UGACAUACAGUUAGAGUAUCA
rnacentral:piRNA from 1 species